rnacentral:lncRNA from 1 species
AGAAAAAUCAAGGCAGGCUUUAACGACUAGGACAUCCUGAUAACUAGAAAGAAUAUCUUUACUGUCUUAGGGUUUUUAUUGCUAUGUGAUGAGUCACCAUGAUCAAAGCAACACUUAUAAAGGACAACAUUUUACUGGGGCUGGUUUACUGGUUCAGAGGUUCAGUCCAUUAUCAUCAAGGCCAGAGCACGGCAGCACCCAGGCAGACAUCGUGUUAGAGAAGGAGUUGAGAAUUCUGGCAUCUUGAUUGGAAGGCAGUUAGAAGACUGACUCUUUUGCACUGGACAGAGCUUCAAGGCCCAUCUCCACAGGAACAUACUUUCUCUAACAAGGCCGUAUCUUCUAACAGUGUCACUCUAUAUGGGCCAAGCAUAUUCAAACCACUACCUUCACCUUAAAUUAUCCUCUCUCGUCAAGGAGCAUGGAUUCUCCAUUUGAAAGCCAGAAUUAAUGGUCAAAGAGAAAUAUAGCAGAUGAAAAACAGAUACAAUCUACCAUACCAAUUGAUUUGAAUGUUACAAACAAGCUUAACUUUAAAGGAGACGGUUUGGCAGCUGGGGGAAGGACAUGGUGCUGAUGUCAAAGGUUGCAGCUUAUCUUCUACCGAGGAUCCAAUCCUUCAUCUUGCUGCACAAGGCUGCCUCUCACAGGGGCCAGUGAUGAAUCUCAUCCUUGAUCUCCACUACGUCUGCAGGUUGGUUCCAAGCUUGCCCUGAGUCCUAAGUACUAGAAACCAUCACUUCCCAACUGCAGAUAAAGGAUAUUAACGUGGCAAAAAUAUUCCAGAAAGCAGCAACAAUAAGCAAAAAAUAUUUUGUGGUUUUAUUGGAGGGAAAUAGAUGAACUGUGAAUGUCAGAGUUCCGAGGAUCACUCAAGUUGGAUGGUGUGUGUGCAGGAGUCUCACCGUAUUUUUGGGUUUAUAUAAAAUGGCAAAGAUUGGAACACUGAAGGAAUUUCCUUUAUAAAAAUACACCGAGUUAUUUACUCACUAACCCUAGAAACCAAACAAGGUUUCUGCUACUUCUUAGAAUUUUCUGUGCUUUUUAAAAUGACUUUGAAAAUAACAUUCACAAUAGCUUCAAAAACUGAUUAUAAAUAAACCUACCCAAGGUGAAAAUUCUCCUGCAGUGAAAAACUGUAAGCUGCUGAAUAAACAGAAGAAGACCCCAGAAGAUCUUCUGUGCUCUUGGAGAGACCAGAAUGAUGCUAUGAAAGUGGCUACAUUACCAAAGAUGGUCUACAGAUUCAAUGCAAUUCCCACUGAACUCCAGUGAUAUUCUGCACAGAACUAGGAAAAAAAACAGUCCUAAAAUUUAUAUUGUAAAACAAAAAGCUAUGAAAAACAAAAACAAUCCUUACCAAAAGGAGGAGAAAUGUUGGGAAUACCGUUAUGCUUCAUUCCAGAUGAUACCAUAGAGCUGUUAUAACAAAAACAACGUGAUGCUGCCCCAAUGGAAUCUAGACCAAUGGAUUAAAAAAGAGGAGCAGAUAUAAACUUAGGUAGCUAUAGCUGCUUGGUUUUCGACAGAGAUGUCAAAAACACACAUUGGAGAAAUGGCAGCUACUUUAGCUAAUGGUGCUGAGGAGAACUGGCUAUCUACUGCAGGCACUGGAUAUCUACACGCAGGCACUAGCUCUUUAUCUCUCAGAUUGCACAACAAUAAAGUAAAACUCAACCAAAGACCAACUAAAAGACGCAAAACUCUGAAA